rnacentral:lncRNA from 1 species
AUGGGAGUCACAACGGCUUCACGUACAUGUGGAAUCUGUAGAAGGAAAGCUGGAAAAAACCCCGACUUGCCAACGCCUAGCCGGCACGAAGGCGUCCUGAAGGCUGUCACAGUCCUGUCCACGCUCUGCGCUUGCCUUCAGUCAGUUCAAUCCAAGCUUAAGUGGCUUUCUCUGCUCCUACAGAUGCUCCUGGACAGCCUGUCACCUCCCCGCAGGUCCAGCCCCUGGAAAGGGACCAGCCUGGUCUGGCUGGCCCUGCCGGGACCUGCCCCUCACACUCAGACUCUGCCAGAACAAGGUGAGGGCUUGCCAUGAAGUUCUGAAACCAGAAACCUUUCUUUGAGGACAUAAACAGGAGCCUGGAAGCUGAUUUUCGGUCACCACGAAUACCCCCACGGAAGCUCGUUUUCUGCGCUAGACAACAUCAGUAGGAUCUGUGCACUUCCAUCGUCUCGCUGCUGGGGAACUAACCACUGGCUGGAAAGACAUCAGGAAGCCUCCUGCAAUGUUGUCAUGAUGAGCUCUUUGAGGACUGGAGGAAGAGACGAGGUCGGGUUGCUGGAAAUCGCUAACCUGAAGUGGUUUCAAACAACCGGAAGGGCAUCUGGUGUGUGCACUCGCACUUGGACGUGACGCCGGAUUGACAGAUCAUCUGCUCGUGCCUCCGACUUCACAAUCUUCUGAAAUAAAUGCAAACCUACACUAACCCCUACAGUCUUGAAAGCACCAGAAUCUUAAUCUGGACCAUAUGCGUUACACGAGACGAUAAACUAUGAAAAAGUAAUGCUUCCCAGCAUCCAAUGGUUCUCCACUAAAGAAAAGUGGCAAAUUUCCCAUUGUCUUGAAAUGUUUUACAAGUAUAUUUUUAUGGAUUAAAUUUCUGUCAUACUGUAUCAUCAAGAUUCUGUCACAUUUCAGUGUUGUUGAUUUGAAACACAAGUGGAUUUUGAUAUCAUUUAUUCUGGGCUACACACUGUGUAAUUAUUCAAAUGCUUCAUUUUCAUUUGGACUUUCCUAUUUGUUUUAAAUGUUAUUACUUGCUUCAGUGCUUUUUCAUUUUAGUGAACACACUGAUAAAUAUUUCUAUCAAUUGCAGAUGUGGUUUUUGCAUAAGUAACUAAAAGGUUGGUACCGUGGUUUAAUACAAUAUUAGACACCACAGGUCCCUUAGCAGCAAUUAGAAAGUGUGCUGCUUUUCUGUAAUCAUAAAGGCCUCAUGGAAUGGUGUAAAGUGUGCUUAUAAUUAGUAAUUUUAAUGCUUCGUAUCUUUCUAAAAAGGCUUCAGCACAAAGCCACAGCCGAUUCUAGGUAAAAUGGUGAAAGGCAACACAUUUGCUUUUCCUGUUUUCACCCUGGCCCCUCUGCUUCACACUGAUCUUCCCAAGCCUGGGUUGGGUGCCCUGAUGGGGCUGGUUGUGUAGACACGUCCUACUUCAUACGUUCCUUGCAUCUUCUGUGUCAACCAGAAAACACGUGCUCCCUUCUGUUGAUUUGUCGAUAGCUGGCUUCUUUGUUUGCUUCUGCUGUGGGUUGAGGAGACGCUCUUAGGAGAAUGUCGUGGCAUCGUCAACAAGCUACUGGAGCAAAUCCAUACGGGUUCCUUCCAUCUAAAUUCCUUGCUUAACUGCCCCAAUAUCCUUGCAACUCUACUAUGAAUAUAGCUAGUUCACCAACAUAGCUGAUUCUGCAUUGUGUCUUCACCAGUGACAAAUGGGAAGUCGAGUAUUUUUUCUUGUGUUAAAUAAAACAAUUUAUCCAAGAAAAAGAGGGGGAAUGUUCUCCUAGAUUCCAUGAAUGGCAUCAGAAUAACACAAGGGAAGAUUGUGCGAGUUGUCAAGCAAAACUGGCCGCUCACUGGAGCCAGUGGCUCAUUUUUUGGACACAGAAGUUACAAAGAGGCCAGCACACUUCUUGAAACUUCACCACCCCCGAGUGCUGCCUGCUGAACAGAAUCUGUUACGACCACCACACAAAAUCAUAACUGAAAAAAAAAAAAUUAGCUUAUUUUUGACUCCCAUUUAUGCUAGGGAUUUAUAGAGCAAACAUUGAACAUUAAAACACACAUUUUUAUGCAAAUACACUUUGCUAGUAUUUCAGAUUACGAAACAACAAGCUGGCAUCAAUUAUGUUUUAUUGUCGAUGUUUCAAUAAUUGCUGCAUCCAGAUAAUGACAGCUGGCUAAAACUCCUGUACUGGAAGGGUCACGAAAAUCGACAACACUGAAACACACUCAAGAUUUAAACCUGAUAAGAAUAAAAUGUAAAUUGAAAUGCAGAAAAAUC